rnacentral:rRNA from 1 species
CGGACGGGUGAGUAACGCGUGGGUAACCUCGCCUCAUACAGGGGGAGUAACAGUUAGAAAUGACUGCUAAUACCGCAUAAGCGCACAGGGAUGCAUGUCCUGGUGUGAAAAACUCCGGUGGUAUGAGAUGGACCCGCGUCUGAUUAGCUGGUUGGCGGGGUAACGCCCACCAAGGCGACGAUCAGUAGCCGACCUGAGAGGGUGACCGGCCACAUUGGGACUGAGACACGGCCCAAACUCCUACGGAAGGCAGCAG